UCCUCUUGAAGACCUCCAUGUAGAAAAACAUUCUUAAUGUCAAGUUGAUGCAAAGGUCAUUUAUGGCUAGCAACCAUGAAAAGAAAUAGGCAAAUGGAAGUUAAUUUGGCAAUUGGAGAAAAUGUAUUUGAAUAAUCAGUUCCAUAGAUUGAGCAUAACCUUUAGCAACAAAGCGAGCUUUCAAUUGAGCCACUGUUCCAUCAUAAUUCACCUUGACAACAAACACUCAUUUACAACCAAUGACCUUCUUUCCUGCAGGAUGAGAUACCAAAUCCCAAGUACCAUUAUAUGGAGUCAAUAGACGUAAUAAAAGCAUAUAUGAUGGGAGACGACCGGUGAUAGGAAACAAAGGAAGAAACAGGGUAAGUACAGUUGCGUUUACCUUUUCGAAGAGCAAUGGGAAGAUCAUCACUUGGCCUCGGAUCACUUGAUGAAGGAGGCAUUGAUGGAGGACAUGAAUCUAAAGGUUGUGGUGGAGGUUGUCGGUGUCGAAAUAAUGGUCAGUUGAAGAUGACCUAAACUUAAGCCUAAUGGAGAACGAAGCCACCAACUACGAUAUUCCAAAUUCCAAACCCUAACGGCUUUGAUACCAUGUAAUCAAGAAUUUAGAGAAAAAUAUAUUUCUUAUUCAUGUAGAGUCAGAAUAAAGUUACAUAUAUAUGUAUAGAGAGAGA
rnacentral:lncRNA from 1 species